UUGGAGGGCAAGUCUGGUGCCAGCAGCCGCGGUAAUUCCAGCUCCAAUAGCGUAUAUUAAAGUUGUUGCAGUUAAAAAGCUCGUAGUUGAAUUUCAGGCCUGGCUGGACGGUCCGCCCUUCGGGUGAGUACUGUCUGCGGUCGAGUCCUACCUUCUGGCGAAGCGUCAUGGCCUUAACCGGCCGUGGCGGGGAACCAGGACUUUUACUGUGAAAAAAUUAGAGCGUUCAAAGCAGGCAAAUCGCUUGGAUACAUUAGCAUGGAAUAAUGGAAUAGGACAAUGGUUCUAUUUGUUGGCUUCUAGGACCGUUGUAAUGAUUAAUAGGGAUAGUUGGGGGCAUUAGUAUUCAAUUGUCAGAGGUGAAAUUCUUGGAUUUAUUGAAGACUAACUACUGCGAAAGCAUUUGCCAAGGAUGUUUUCAUUAAUCAAGAACGAAAGUUAGGGGAUCGAAGACGAUCAGAUACCGUCGUAGUCUUAACCAUAAACUAUGCCGACUAGGAAUCGGGCGAUGUUGAAAAAAUGACGCGCUCGGCACCCUAUGGGAAACCAAAG
rnacentral:rRNA from 1 species